GGGGACGUAGCUCAGUUGGGAGAGCACCGGCUUUGCAAGCCGGGGGUCGAGGGUUCGAGCCCCUUCGUCUCCACCA
rnacentral:tRNA from 1 species